UACGUAGGGGGCUAGCGUUAUCCGGAAUUACUGGGCGUAAAGGAUGCGUAGGUGGUUUCUUAAGUCAGAGGUGAAAGGCUACGGCUCAACCGUAGUAAGCCUUUGAAACUGGGGAACUUGAGUGCAGGAGAGGAGAGUGGAAUUCCUAGUGUAGCGGUGAAAUGCGUAGAUAUUAGGAGGAACACCAGUUGCGAAGGCGGCUCUCUGGACUGUAACUGACACUGAGGCACGAAAGCGUGGGGAGCAAACAGG
rnacentral:rRNA from 1 species